ACGUGUAUUUUAAUUUCCUUCAUACAUUAAAAUCUUAUAACUGUUGUCCCUUUUCAUUCCCAUGAGUAUGGAGUUCACCGCAUUCCAUCCUGACACCUGAACACAACUUCCCAAGGGCCAGGUAUGAUGUGUUCUAUUUGUGAUCAGAUUAAUGUAUAAAUCUAUUUCAUUCGUGAACGCAUUUGUAGGCAAGAUUUAUCAUGGAGGGUAACUACUAGAGGAUCGGAGUAUCGUGUCUUACAUUGAUAGGUCAUGCACCAAACAACCACGCAGGCCGUACUCCAACUCUGAAACUUGAUUCCAUCGGAUUGCGUAAGUUCUAUAGAAGGCAUGGAACAUCUCAUUUUAAUUUUUUUCUUACAGAUGAUUACAACGUGCAUGAAAAUGAGUUAGGAUUUCAUCAUAUUUCGUAUUGCUUUUGCAGACAAACAUUCAUGUCUCUGGUUCACGAUCCGUAAGUGCCUCCAUCUUUCCGAUCUAUCACACUACGUAAACAUUGUGGUCCUCAUGUAGAGGAGAUUGGAGGAAUAUGAUAGAAGAACCGAAGAUAUUUGGGUGAUUUUAAAAAAAUGAGGUUUUCUGUAUGUUGCAUGUAAUUAAAUCGUUGACUGUGACUUUUGCCUUUCAGUGAUAGCGUCUAUAUAAUGAAUGUAGUAUAUUCCCUGUUUUUGGACACAUGUUAACCAAUAUUGUCAGGGCUGUGAUCCACCCAAUGUAGCCAAUGGCUGCUGGUCGGUGUGGUGGACCCGACGAGGAUGUAUAGCUUCCAUCCAUGCCAUCAUUUA